rnacentral:rRNA from 1 species
CGUAGGGGGCGAGCGUUGUCCGGAAUUAUUGGGCGUAAAGAGCGUGUAGGCUGUUCGGUAAGUCUGCCGUGAAAACCUGAGGCUCAACCUCGGGCGUGCGGUGGAUACUGCCGGGCUAGAGGACGGUAGAGGCGAGUGGAAUUCCCGGUGUAGCGGUGAAAUGCGCAGAUAUCGGGAGGAACACCAGUAGCGAAGGCGGCUCGCUGGGCCGUUCCUGACGCUGAGACGCGAAAGCUAGGGGAGCGAACAGGAUUAGAUACCCUGGUAGUCCUAGCCGUAAACGAUGGACACUAGGUGUGGGGGGAGUCGAAUCCCUCUGUGCCGCAGUUAACGCGUUAAGUGUCCCGCCUGGGGAGUACGGCCGCAAGGCUA